GAAUCAUCGAAUCUUUGAACGCACCUUGCACUCCUUGGUAUUCCGAGGAGUAUGCCUGUUUGAGUCUCAUGGUAUUCUCAACCCCUAAAUUUUUGUAAUGAAGGUUUAGCGGGCUUGGACUUGGAGGUUGUGUCGGCCCUUGUCGGUCGACUCCUCUGAAAUGCAUUAGCGUGAAUCUUACGGAUCGCCUUCAGUGUGAUAAUUAUCUGCGCUGUGGUGUUGAAGUAUUUAUGGUGUUCAUGCUUCGAACCGUCUCCUUGCCGAGACAAUCAUUUGACAAUCUGAGCUCAAAUCAGGUAGGACUACCCGCUGAACUUAAGCAUAUCAAUAAGCGGAGGAAAAGAAACUAACAAGGAUUCCCCUAGUAACUGCGAGUGAAGCGGGAAAAGCUCAAAUUUAAAAUCUGGCGGCUUUGGUCGUCCGAGUUGUAUUCUAGAGAAGUGUUUUCCGCGUUGGACCGUGUAUAAGUCUCUUGGAAUAGAGCGUCAUAGAGGGUGAGAAUCCCGUCUUUGACACGGACUACCAAUGCUUUGUGAUACACUCUCAAAGAGUCGAGUUGUUUGGGAAUGCAGCUCAAAAUGGGUGGUAAAUUCCAUCUAAAGCUA
rnacentral:rRNA from 1 species